GAUGAACGCUGGCGGCGUGCCUAAUACAUGCAAGUCGAGCGAACAGACGAGGAGCUUGCUCCUCUUACGUUAGCGGCGGACGGGUGAGUAACACGUGGAUAACCUACCUAUAAGACUGGGAUAACUUCGGGAACCCGGAGCUAAUACCGGAUAAUAUAUUGAACCGCAUGGUUCAAUAGUGAAAGACGGUUUUGCUGUCACUUAUAGAUUGAUCCGCGCCGCAUUAGCUAGUUGGUAAGGUAACGGCUUACCAAGGCAACGAUGCGUAGCCGACCUGAGAGGGUGAUCGGCCACACUGGAACUGAGACACGGUCCAGACUCCUACGGGAGGCAGCAGUAGGGAAUCUUCCGCAAUGGGCGAAAGCCUGACGGAGCAACGCCGCGUGAGUGAUGAAGGUCUUCGGAUCGUAAAACUCUGUUAUUAGGGAAGAACAAAUGUGUAAGUAACUAUGCACGUCUUGACGGUACCUAAUCAGAAAGCCACGGCUAACUACGUG
rnacentral:rRNA from 1 species